GAUGAACGCUGGCGGCGUGCCUAAUACAUGCAAGUCGAGCGAACAGACGAGGAGCUUGCUCCUCUGACGUUAGCGGCGGACGGGUGAGUAACACGUGGAUAACCUACCUAUAAGACUGGGAUAACUUCGGGAAACCGGAGCUAAUACCGGAUAAUAUAUUGAACCGCAUGGUUCAAUAGUGAAAGACGGUUUUGCUGUCACUUAUAGAUGGAUCCGCGUCGCAUUAGCUAGUUGGUAAGGUAACGGCUUACCAAGGCAACGAUGCGUAGCCGACCUGAGAGGGUGAUCGGCCACACUGGAACUGAGACACGGUCCAGACUCCUACGGGAGGCAGCAGUAGGGAAUCUUCCGCAAUGGGCGAAAGCUUGACGGAGCAACGCCGCGUGAGUGAAGAAGGUCUUCGGAUCGUAAAACUCUGUUAUUAGGGAAGAACAAAUGUGUAAGUAACUAUGCACGUCUUGACGGUACCUAAUCAGAAAGCCACGGCUAACUACGUG
rnacentral:rRNA from 1 species